rnacentral:lncRNA from 1 species
GCAAACAGGACCGCGAAAAGAACAGGACCACCCAUCAGCAGCCCUGCAAGAACACUGCAGAUUUGCGCGAGAAGUAGGUUAUCUUCUAUGGAGAGGAAUUCUAGACCUAAUCAGAGACGAUCCCUUAAGACUCUGGUUUAAGAAAGGUUCGGAGAUAAGCAUACUUUGAUAGCGUUCACCUGUUUUCCCUGAGGACCUUUCGCCACUGGGAGUCGGGGAACACCUGUCAGUCAGAGUCCUCUGCUCUGAAAUUCGACUAGAAAGACUCUGCAAAGAAGAACAAGAAGCUGGCUUGUGCUGGGUCCAGUGGCUUAUGCCUAUAAUUCCAGUACUUUGGGAGGCUGAAGUAGGAGGAUUGCUUGAUCCUGGGAGUCUGAGGCUGCAGUGAGCCAUAAU